CCCCCAUUACCAAAAAAUAAAGGAAGGUAGGAAGGGAGAGAGAGUGGGUGGGCAACAGAAGGAAGGAAAGAUAAAGAGGUGGAGAGAAAACUGUGUGAUUCAGAACAUCUGUUCGGAGUAUUGGCUGUGGUGGGAGGGAAUACCUGGACAAGCCACUUGAGGUGAGGAACAAGACAGCCCAACAGGCAUCUUGAAUAAGGAGAGGUGGUGCCGAUCUGCCUUCUAAAGGGCAGGGGCUUCUGAACCUUAGGGCUUUGUUUUGUUGUUGUUGUUGUUUUUGAGAUAGAGUUUCAUUCUUUUGCCCAGGCUGGAGUGCAGUGGCACGAUCUCAACUCACCACAACCUCCGCCUCCCGGGUUCAAGCGAUUCUCCUGCCUCAGCCUCCCGAGUAGCUGGGAUUACAGGUGUGCGCCACCACGCCUGGCUGCUUUCUACCCGUGAGACCUUCCUUUCCUGACACUGCAUCCUCGUCUCAGGCAGCUGCUGGCCAUGACCCCUCUGGCCAUGCCUCCAGCCCAGCAGGGCCCUGGAGAGGCCCACCUUCAGCCAGCCAACAUAGAAGAAGAACUGCAGGAACGUGAAGACGGGCACAACGAGGUCCAGCUCAUGGCCAGGCUUCCUCAUCUAUCAAAAGGGAACCAGGACCUCACAGACUUGGAGAAGAGGGAGGGGCCUCUGAGAAGGGACCACCUCGGGCUGUGGAUUGCUGUUGGAAAAGAUUCUGCAACCCCACCUCAGGCUCUCGGAAGACCCUCAGGGGCCCAAGGCUUCUCUUUGUAGGAAACCUUGUUUCCUGUGGACCACAGCCCUUCCCACUCUGCGGCAGCCCUGUCUGUACAGUGGGCUCACGUUCAGCAGGCUCUGGAGCAGGAUAGGGUCCCGGAUUCGACCUCCAAGCCACGCCUUCAUUGACAGGUUGGCAAACCACACCCAGGGCACCCAGAACAUGUUGUGUGGUAGGCUCAGUUUCUCCAACUGCUUGUGUUCUGCCGGAGUCAUAAAGCCUGCAGAGUGGAGUGAAGAAGGCGGUGGGUGGGAGAACCUGCAGAAGGGAUGGCCGGCACCUGCUGACCUAUAGGAACCUCAGCACUCCUUUGCCAUCCUCUUUCUUUCAACAACAAAAAAAUUUCUGAGCACCUACUAGGUGCUGUUCUGGGCUGAGCAUGUGGGCAGGGUAUUUAUUUAUUUCCAGAGAAAGGGUCUGGCUCUGUCACCGAGGUUGGAGUGCAGCGGUGCGAUCUUAGCGCACUGCAGCCUGGAACUGCUGGGCUCAAGUGAUCCUCCUGCCUCAGCCUCCCGAUACUCAGCCUCAGACUGCAGGCACACGCCACCAUGCCCUGCUAAUUUUUAAUGUUUUUGUAGAGAUGGGGGUCUCGCUAUGUUGCUCAGGGGCGUCUCAAACAGCUGGGCUCAAGCGAUCUUCCCACCUUUGCCUCCUAAAGCACUGGGAUUACAGGCGACAGCCACCACGCCUAGCCUGGGUCUGUCUUAUUAACCAGGACCAGGUCAGGCCAGGCUGAGGGGGUGUCAGAGACCAAUGUCCCAUACCUCCAGAGUGGAAACCGGAGAUCAAGAGGGGCAAGGGCAGAGGGAAGUAGACCCUAGUACCUCACCAGUUCCCAAGCCGUCACCCUUCUUUCCAUUAUCCCUCAAGGGUCCUUAGCCCUGCCUCAGACUCCUACUCUCGGAGGGUGGGCUCCUGGCCUCGCCCCACCUUCAGACACCCGACUCUGUCCCGCCCAAUUGGACCCCCAAAUCUUGACUACACCCCACUCCUGGCUCCACCCAAUCCCCCGAGUCCGGGGGACUUUGGCUCCACCCAUCUUCCAUUCCUGCCGCGCCCAUCUCGGCCCCUGGCUCUGCCCGGUGCCUCCCCGUUGCUCCCGGUCCGCCCACCUGCUUGCACCAGGUG
rnacentral:lncRNA from 1 species